rnacentral:rRNA from 1 species
UGCAGUCGAGCGGACAGAAGGGAGCUUGCUCCCGGAUGUUAGCGGCGGACGGGUGAGUAACACGUGGGUAACCUGCCUGUAAGACUGGGAUAACUCCGGGAAACCGGAGCUAAUACCGGAUAGUUCCUUGAACCGCAUGGUUCAAGGAUGAAAGACGGUUUCGGCUGUCACUUACAGAUGGACCCGCGGCGCAUUAGCUAGUUGGUGGGGUAAUGGCUCACCAAGGCGACGAUGCGUAGCCGACCUGAGAGGGUGAUCGGCCACACUGGGACUGAGACACGGCCCAGACUCCUACGGGAGGCAGCAGUAGGGAAUCUUCCGCAAUGGACGAAAGUCUGACGGAGCAACGCCGCGUGAGUGAUGAAGGUUUUCGGAUCGUAAAGCUCUGUUGUUAGGGAAGAACAAGUGCGAGAGUAACUGCUCGCACCUUGACGGUACCUAACCAGAAAGCCACGGCUAACUACGUGCCAGCAGCCGCGGUAAUACGUAGGUGGCAAGCGUUGUCCGGAAUUAUUGGGCGUAAAGGGCUCGCAGGCGGUUUCUUAAGUCUGAUGUGAAAGCCCCCGGCUCAACCGGGGAGGGUCAUUGGAAACUGGGAAACUUGAGUGCAGAAGAGGAGAGUGGAAUUCCACGUGUAGCGGUGAAAUGCGUAGAGAUGUGGAGGAACACCAGUGGCGAAAGCGACUCUCUGGUCUGUAACUGACGCUGA